rnacentral:rRNA from 1 species
AUUGAACGCUGGCGGCAGGCUUAACACAUGCAAGUCGAGCGAGCGGUGGCCGGGUGAGUAAUGUCUGGGAAACUGCCUGAUGGAGGGGGAUAACUACUGGAAACGGUAGCUAAUAACGCAUACUAUCAAAUGUGCACAGAUGGGAUUCGCUAGUAGGUGGGGUAAUGGGUCACCUAGGCGAAGAUCCCUAGCUGGUCUGAGAGGAGGACCAGCAGAACGGGAACAGUGGCACGGUCCAGACUCCUACGGGAGGCAGCAGUGGGGAAUAUGGCAAAAUGGGCGCAAGCCUGAUGCAGCCAUGCCGCGUGUGUGAGUAAGGCCUUCGGGUUGUAAAGCACUUUCAGCGAGGAGGCGUUACGCGCAGAAGAAGCACCGGCUAACUCCGUGCCAGCAGCCGCGGUAAUAC